rnacentral:rRNA from 1 species
GACGAACGCUGGCGGCAUGCCUAAUACAUGCAAGUCGGGCGGAGUUGAUAGAAAGCUUGCUUUCUUGAUACUUAGCGGCGGACGGGUGAGUAACACGUAGGCAACCUGCCCUCAAGCUUGGGACAACUACCGGAAACGGUAGCUAAUACCGAAUACUUGUUUUCUUCGCCUGAAGGAAACUGGAAAGACGGAGCAAUCUGUCACUUGGGGAUGGGCCUGGGGCGCAUUAGCUAGUUGGUGAGGUAACGGCUCACCAAGGCGACGAUGCGUAGCCGACCUGAGAGGGUGAUCGGCCACACUGGGACUGAGACACGGCCCAGACUCCUACGGGAGGCAGCAGUAGGGAAUCUUCCGCAAUGGGCGAAAGCCUGACGGAGCAAUGCCGCGUGAGUGAUGAAGGUUUUCGGAUCGUAAAGCUCUGUUGCCAGGGAAGAACGCUUGGGAGAGUAACUGCUCCCAAGGUGACGGUACCUGAGAAGAAAGCCCCGGCUAACUACGUGCCAGCCGCCGCAGUAA